rnacentral:rRNA from 1 species
CGCAUCUGUGCAUGCAGCAUAUCAAUAAGCGGAGGAAAAGAAACUAACAAGGAUUCCCCUAGUAACGGCGAGUGAAGCGGGAAGAGCUCAAAUUUGAAAUCUUAAAGGGUUUCCCUUUACGAAUUGUAGUUUAAAGAAGUGUUUUCUGUUGAGGUUUUGGUAAAAGUUCUUUGGAAUAGGACAUCAUAGAGGGUGAGAAUCCCGUAUUUGACCUUUACUUUCAACUUUGUGAUACACUUUCAAAGAGUCGGAUUGUUUGGGAAUGCAGUCCAAAAUGGGUGGUAAAUUUCAUCUAAAGCUAAAUAUUGGCGAGAGACCGAUAGCGAACAAGUACCGUGAGGGAAAGAUGAAAAGAACUUUGAAAAGAGAGUUAAACAGUACGUGAAAUUGUCAAAAGGGAAGCGUUUGACACCAGUGUUGUUUUUCUGAAAAUCAAUUAAAGAACUGUUUAUGCUAAGUUGUUUAGACUUUAUCAGCUAACUGUUUAGUUUUGAGCUUUUCUUUAAUGCACUUUUCAGUUAACAAGUCAACAUCAAUUUCUUUUGCUGUAAAAAAGCUUGAGGAAGGUGGUUUGAGAUUCGUCUUAAGUGUUUAUAGCCUCUUGCCUAUGCAGUCGGAGAGAUUGAGGUCUGCAGCGUAGAUCCUUCGGGGCUAAAUGCAUUUGUGCUAAGUUAGUAACAUUUUAUAGACAACUUGUUGACUAUGAUUUGUCUUGUAGCUUACUCGCUUAUGUUAUUUUACCUACGCUUAGGAUGUUGAACGCGCACAGAGUCUC